rnacentral:lncRNA from 1 species
UUUUUCUUAGAUAUUAAUUAGAAUCAAAUAGUAAUUAGUUUUUUUCUUUGUUGAUUUUAGUUUGUUUAAAUAAAUAACAAGUGUAUUAAUAAAUGUAUAUAUUGUGUGCAUUGGAUUCCUUCUUUGCAUAAAAAACAAAAAAAAUCUCUUUAUAUCUCUCUCCUCUAACGACUACAAGAAGAAAAAAUAAAAAAAAAUAUCUAAAAAGAUCUCUUCCAUCU